rnacentral:rRNA from 1 species
GCUCCUUUGACGUUAGCGGCGGACGGGUGAGUAACACGUGGGUAACCUACCUAUAAGACUGGAAUAACUCCGGGAAACCGGGGCUAAUGCCGGAUAACAUUUAGAACCGCAUGGUUCUAAAGUGAAAGAUGGUUUUGCUAUCACUUAUAGAUGGACCCGCGCCGUAUUAGCUAGUUGGUAAGGUAACGGCUUACCAAGGCAACGAUACGUAGCCGACCUGAGAGGGUGAUCGGCCACACUGGAACUGAGACACGGUCCAGACUCCUACGGGAGGCAGCAGUAGGGAAUCUUCCGCAAUGGGCGAAAGCCUGACGGAGCAACGCCGCGUGAGUGAUGAAGGUCUUCGGAUCGUAAAACUCUGUUAUUAGGGAAGAACAAAUGUGUAAGUAACUAUGCACGUCUUGACGGUACCUAAUCAGAAAGCCACGGCUAACUACGUGCCAGCAGCCGCGGUAAUACGUAGGUGGCAAGCGUUAUCCGGAAUUAUUGGGCGUAAAGCGCGCGUAGGCGGUUUCUUAAGUCUGAUGUGAAAGCCCACGGCUCAACCGUGGAGGGUCAUUGGAAACUGGGAAACUUGAGUGCAGAAGAGGAAAGUGGAAU